AUUGAACGCUGGCGGCAGGCCUAACACAUGCAAGUCGAACGAGUGGCGGACGGGUGAGUAAUGUCUGGGAAACUGCCUGAUGGAGGGGGAUAACUACUGGAAACGGUAGCUAAUACCGCAUACCAUCGGAUCUGCCCAGAUGGGAUUAGCUAGUUGGUGGGGUAACGGCUCACCAAGGCGACGAUCCCUAGCUGGUCUGAGAGGAUGACCAGGCACACGGGAACUGUGAAACGGGGCAGACUCCUACGGGAGGCAGCAGUGGGGAAUAUUGCACAAUGGGCGCAAGCCUGAUGCAGCCAUGCCGCGUGUAUGAAGAAGGCCUUCGGGUUGUAAAGUACUUUCAGCGGGGAGGCGUUACCUGCAGAAGAAGCACCGGCUAACUCCGUGCCAGCAGCCGCGGUAAUUC
rnacentral:rRNA from 1 species